UACAAACGUAGAGGAAGUGCCAGGCACCGCAAAAGAAUCGCAGCACCUUGAAAAAUGUUUUGCAGACAAGAGGAAUAAAGAAGCACCUAAAAAGGCUCAAUGCUCCAAACUAUUGGAUGCUUGACAAACGUUAUGGUCCUUUCCCCCCCAAGCCGUCUUCUGAGACCUCACAAGUCGAGGAAGUGUCUUCCUCUUGUUCCGAUCAUCAGGAACAGGUCGAAGUAGGCUCUCACAUUACUGAGAGGUCAUCUCCAUCCUGCUGCAAAGAC